GCCAAAAAGCCGCGGUUAUCUUCAUACAUAAUAUCAUUCUCGCAUUAUGUCUAUGGUUGCUCAUAUUGAACAUGACAGUUCCACCCCGCUCCUCCUUCCUCUUUCCUUUUUCACCUGCCAUUCCAGAGUGCAAAGACCAGUCGCCAUCUUGUUUGACAUGACAUUCAAGUUCCUCCACAACAUUUUAUUCCGUAACUCUCAAUUUUUGUAGCUUUAUUAUUUAACUUUCACCAUGUAUCCUGUUGUUUCAUAAGUGUAGUGUUGUGAGUUGUGAUAGUAGACGAAAGGACGUAUUUUUUUUAUAGAUUUCCAAAAUCUGAGAUAGAACUCCAAAAAUGGGUAGAGUGCGCAUAGGUUCUGAAAGAUUGCAAAGUGUCCUGAACUAACGAAAGCAGAAAAAGUUUUUCUCAUCACCUCCGCGUCGAUGCCUAUCCAACAUUAUUUAGUGCUGAUGAGAUCACUACUGAUAUGCCCCAAGGCUUACACCACGAUGCCAAAAAUGUCUCCCAUGAGCACAAUUAUUGCAAGACUGCAUGAAAACCAUUCCUACAGAAAAGUUGAAGUUCCAGGAAAACAUACAAGAGUCGAAAGUGAUGCACCCAUUUACUCCAAUCCUCGACACCCUAGACGAAGGCGUGUGAUUGUCACGAAAAAAUCUCUGACAUCAAUUUGUGCAAGAUUUUCCUCUGAGUACACGAG